rnacentral:rRNA from 1 species
AUGCCUUUUGGGUUAACUAAUGCACCUAGUACUUUCAUGAGAUUAAUGAACGAAGUUUUACGUGCUUUCAUUGGACGAUUUGUGGUAGUUUACUUUGAUGACAUAUUGAUUUAUAGCAGAUCUUUGGAAGAACAUUUGGAACAUUUACGUGCUGUUUUUAUUGCUCUACGUGAUGCACGUUUGUUUGGUAACCUUGGGAAGUGCACCUUUUGCACCGACCGAGUAUCUUUUCUUGGCUAUGUUGUUACUCCACAGGGAAUUGAAGUUGAUAAAGCCAAGAUUGAAGCUAUUGAGAGUUGGCCGCAGCCCAAAACGGUCACACAAGUGAGGAGUUUUCUUGGCCUCGCUGGAUUCUAUAGGCGUUUUGUGAGAGAUUUCAGCACCAUUGCUGCACCUCUCAAUGAGCUUACAAAGAAAGAUGUGCCUUUCUUUGGGGUACCGCACAGGAAGAAGCCUUCACGGUAUUGA